rnacentral:rRNA from 1 species
AUUGGCAGCCAUAUCACCCUGCAGCCCAAGACUGGUUGCCCACUGAAGCUAAGCAGGGUUGAGCUGGUCAGUACCUGGAUGAGAGAGGAAGAGGUGUUAGUGUGGCCAGCA